rnacentral:rRNA from 1 species
AAACCAACAGGGAUUGCCUUAGUAGCGGCGAGUGAAGCGGCAAAAGCUCAAAUUUGAAAUCUGGCUCUUUCAGAGUCCGAGUUGUAAUUUGAAGAAGGUAUCUUUGGGCCUGGCUCUUGUCUAUGUUUCUUGGAACAGAACGUCACAGAGGGUGAGAAUCCCGUGCGAUGAGAUGACCCAGGUCCGUGUAAAGUUCCUUCGACGAGUCGAGUUGUUUGGGAAUGCAGCUCUAAGUGGGUGGUAAAUUCCAUCUAAAGCUAAAUAUUGGCGAGAGACCGAUAGCGAACAAGUACAGUGAUGGAAAGAUGAAAAGAACUUUGAAAAGAGAGUGAAAAAGUACGUGAAAUUGUUGAAAGGGAAGGGCUUGAGAUCAGACUUGGCAUUUUGCAUGUUGCUUCUUCGGGGGCGGCCUCUGCGGUUUGUCGGGCCAGCAUCAGUUUGGGCGGCAGGACAAUCGCGUGGGAAUGUGGCACGGCCUCGGCUGUGUGUUAUAGCCCGCGUGGAUACUGCCAGCCUAGACUGAGGACUGCGGUUUAUACCUAGGAUGUUGGCAUAAUGAUCUUAA